UAUGGUCACGUGGUACAAGACUGCUACUGGUUGGCAAGAACCGGCAGUAACAUAAAGGCUUGCUACAAGAACGGUAUCGGGUUUGAAACCAAUACGUAAAGUUAUCGCUUUUCAUGAAUGAAAUUGCACAUGUAUUUACCACAAUGGUAAUAGCGUGUGUAGUUGUUGGUUGUACGAAGCGUUUUGAGAAGGAAUCAGGCUUGAAAUUUCACCGAAUACCAAUUUCAGGAGAGAGAAGAUGGCGGUGGCUUCAGGUCAUCAACAGUAAAAAUUGUACCCCAGUAAGCAGCAGAGAUCGUGUCUGUGGCUCCCACUUUUCUUCAGGUAAACUAUUCAACAGUUUAGCAUGUUUAGUAUGUCCAACUUUGAGCUUAUUUACCAAAAGAUAUUGAUUUAGUGUCGCAUCCUUCGCGUGAAGCGAUCUCUACACUUUCGGUUUGGUUCAGUGUUGUCAUGUGUUACUGAUCGCUUUAUAGGCGAUGAAAGUAUACUAAAGUCGAAUGAAACAUAUUCAAUAACAUCUCCUUAAGCCAGCAUCCUCCUAUUUGUAAUCAUAUUUCUUUCUGUAUGCGUCUAGCGAUCGUUUUUUUUAGAAUUGUCCUAUUUUCGAUCACCAAUGCUGUGGGUCUGUUACUGUUACAUAGAAGCCAUACUGCAGACAAAAAAUACAGCAACUUCUUGACGUUUCUUUGACAUCUUGUUGAAGAUUAACAGAAGAUAUAUUAUUUUUAAUUCAUAAUUAUAUAUUUUUGGGUGGGUGAACUGCCCUGCGGUGUCAAUCAAUUAAAAAUAAAUGUCGGUGAAGGAAAUGUCGGGCCACAAUGAAGGAUCGUCCACCCGCCCAGUCUUUAAAUUGUAGGGAUCUGGCAAGGUUUUACCGUUUCCCUGAUAUCCCAGCUUACUCACGUAUAUUUGUCGGGCCUCAGGUGAUAAGGAUUGAGCAUAAUCGGACAAUUUCACGGAAGGAUAGUUCGCAUUGUUAUCAUCAGCCAUUGUUCCUCUGGUUCCUCUUGCCAACCAGCGCGGUAAUCACGUGACUUCGUGACGUCACUGUUUGUAAACACUGGCAUCACCCUGUCAUGCUGUCCUGAAGGAAAAGAAUACAAGUUAUUCGUGACUUUAACGCUGAUCUGUGGUGUUUGUCUCGUUGGUAAAUCCUGCAGCAGUCGGUGCAGCCCACCUGUACACCUAUACGCUCCAGUGUCUCCGGCUCAGUCCCGACGUCGUUGCUCUUCGGGUCCGUCUCUUUUCCAAUGACCUCCUCUGGACUGGCUUCAGAAAAAUCCAAGAUGGCGACCAGGACAUUACAGAUGACGUACUGUUGGCUACGUCCAGAGCCCUUUAGCAGUUCUGUCACUUCAUCUUUACAGAUUCAAAUUUCCCGCUUCCAGUAAGGCAAUGGGCCGAGUACGUCUAUCUGCUUUCGUUUACGAAACAAUUGAUCCCCUGCUGGUAAUUUUCAGAUUUUAGUAUUGUGUAGAUAAAUUAUCAUAUAACAUAUAAGUUAAUGUUUCCAACCUCAAAAGUUGCACAUUUUCAUAAAUAACGUUGAUAUAUUCUUCACACGAGCUAAUGGAUAUGCUGUUAGCGCCAGCAACCACAAACCAAUGAGAGCUCUUGUUCCUACUUCGUGGACUCCAGUUGGCCAAUCAGAUUCCUCGUACUUCUGGUAAAGCCAUAACACAACGUUAACACAACUGGUUAAGGGAUGAGAGCAAACGAAGGAAAAGCAGCAUGGCUGAAUGGUACAGGUGUCUGUCUUUAGAGAAGUCAGAGACUGUCACUACACAACCAGGUAUAAUGGUGAAAUGCAGGGUCAUUCUUGUGUUGAUGGCCUAAAUGACUGGGUUCCAUGCCAUCCUCCUCUGAGUCACUGCUGUCUGAUGAAGGCUGUGCCGGUUCAUCCUGGAUGACCUCUUCAGCAGUUAGGUAUCUUGUGUAAUUUGUGAAGCAACUGUGGUGAUACAUGGCCUCUGACGCAACAAGAUCUCUUCCACGGAUUUGAAGCAACAGGUGUUCAUCCUUCUUCCCCUCAUCAGCAUGAAGGAGUUGAUCUGCUGUGGUAAACAAAGUUUAUACUCGGGCAUGCAACUGGCAGGAGGUGUGGAGCCCUUUUGGGUUGUUCUGGCCACUUGAAGAGCGCAGAACCCGAACCUUGGAUGCAGCACCAUCACUGGUAUCUGGCAGUGGUUCUUCUGAACAUUGUAAUGGCACUAAAAUGUAAGUUACAAGUGAUCAAUAAAUGGAAAUGAUUUAAAUUAACAUUGUUUCUAACAUUUGUAAAUAAAUUUAAAAAACAUA